rnacentral:rRNA from 1 species
UACGGAGGGUGCAAGCGUUAUCCGGAUUCACUGGGUUUAAAGGGUGCGUAGGUGGGUUUGUAAGUCAGUGGUGAAAUCUCCAAGCUUAACUUGGAACUGCCGUUGAUACUAUAAAUCUUGAAUGUUGUGGAGGUGAGCGGAAUAUGUCAUGUAGCGGUGAAAUGCUUAGAGUAUGAACAUAGAACACCAAUUGCGAAGGCAGCUCACUACACAAAGAUUGACACUGAGGCACGAAAAGCGUGGGGAUCAAACAGG